AAAGAAAAAAUUAAUAAAUCUCAUAUGCGUUGCAGAAAGACACAAUAAGUUUAGGUCAAUUAAACAAGUUUAAGCCCGAGCUGUCAAAAAACAAAACUAAACUAUCUUGCAACACUGGCUUUUUCUGCAACACAAAACAAAGUUUUUUGGC